rnacentral:rRNA from 1 species
UUUUUUAUUUAGAGUUUGAUCCUAGCUCAGGAUGAACGCUGGCGGCGUGGAUAAGGCAUGCAAGUCGAACGGAGACUUUUUGAGAUUACAUCAAGAACUGUCUUAGUGGCGAACGAGGUAGUAUAACAUAGGUAUCUUCCCCUAAGUCAUGAAUAACAUAUCGAAAGAUAUGCUAAUACAUGAUGGUCUCUACGGAGUAAAGUUUACUGUAAAGUACGCGCUUAGGGACGAGCCUAUCUGAUAUCAGCUAGUUGGUAAGGUAAUGGCUUACCAAGGCUAUGACGUCUAGAGGAGCUGAGAGGCUGACCCUCACCGAUGGGACUGAGACACGGCCCAUACACCUACGGGUGGCUGCAGUCGAGAAUUUUCCGCAAUGGACGAAAGUCUGACGGAGCGACGCCGCGUGGUUGAUGAAGUACUUAGGUAUGUAAAAACCUUUUAUGAGGGAAAAAGUUUAUUGAUUGUACCUCAUGAAUAAGGGGUUGCUAAACUCGUGCCAGCAGCAGCGGUAAUACGAGUGCCCCAAGCGUUAUCCGGAAUUAUUGGGCGUAAAGGGUGAGUAGGUGGUUAUAUUAGUCUUGUGUUAAAGCCUUCGGCUCAACCGAAGAUCUGCAUAGGAAACGGUAUAACUAGAGUAUGUGAGAGGUGUGUAGAACUCAUGGAGUAGGGGUGAAAUCCGUUGAUAUCAUGGGGAAUACCAAAAGCGUAGGCAGCACACUGGCACAUUACUGACACUGAAUCACGAAAGCGUGGGUAGCGAAUGGGAUUAGAUACCCCAGUAGUCCACGCCCUAAACGAUGUACUCUAGUUUUGUGGGGAAUCGACCCCCUGCGAGACUAAGCUAACGCGAUAAGAGUACCGCCUGGGUAGUACGAUCGCAAGAUUAAAACUCAAAGGAAUAGACGGGGACUUGCACAAGCGGUGGAUUAUGUGGUUUAAUUCGUAGGUAAACGAAGAACCUUACCAAGGUUUGACACCUAACUGAAAGUCCUAAGAAACUAGGACCCUCGCAAGACAGUUAGGCAGGUGAUGCAUGGCCGUCGUCAGUUCGUGGUUUGAAUUGUUCCCUUCAGUGGGGUAACGAACGCAACCCUCGUCGUGUGUUACAAGUGUCACACGAGACUGCCCAGCCUAAAGCUCAGAAAACUUUCAUUAGUUUUGUGAUUUCUAGGCUGGGAGGAAGGCGAGGAUGACGCCAGGUCCGCAUGUCCCUUUGACAUCUUGGGCUACACACAUAAUACAAUGGUCGAGACAACGCGACGCAAUGGGGCGACCCGGAGCAAACCGUAAUAAACUCGGCCUCAGUUCGGAUUGAAGUCUGCAACUCGACUUCAUGAAGCUGGAAUCGCUAGUAAUCGCAGGUCAGACAUACUGCGGUGAAUACGUUCUCAAGUCUUGUACUCACCGCCCGUCAACUCAAGGGAGCCAGGAGUACCCGAUAUCUCACCAUGUGUGGGACUACGGUAAGCUUGGUAACAGGGAGUAAGUCGUAACAAGGCACGGGUAGCGGAAGCUGUUCGUGGAU